CCUACGGGAGGCAGCAGUAGGGAAUGUUCGGCAAUGGGGGGAACCCUGACCGAGCAACGCCGCGUGAAGGAAGAAGGUAUUCGGAAUGUAAAGUUCUUUUAACAGGGAAGAAAGAGAAAUUGGACGGGACCUGAAGAAUAAGCUCCGGCUAACGACGUGCCAGCAGCCGCGGAAAGACGUAGGGAGAGAGCGUUAUCCGGAAUUAUUGGGCGUAAGGGGGGCGUCGAUGGCAUAGGAAGUCUUUUGUAAAACUGCUGGGCUCACCCCAGUAGGGCAAAAGAGACUGCAAAGCUAGAGUAUGACAGAGGCAAGUGGAACUACCUGUGUAGCGGU
rnacentral:rRNA from 1 species